rnacentral:rRNA from 1 species
GACGAAGGUGGCGAGCGUUGUUCGGAAUCACUGGGCAUAAAGAGCACGUAGGCGGCUAAGUCAGUCGGAUGUGAAAUACCUCGGCUCAACCGAGGAACUGCGUCCGAUACUGCUUGGCUUGAGGUCCGGAGGGGAGAGUGGAAUUCCCGGUGGAGCGGUGAAAUGCGCAGAUAUCGGGAGGAACACCAAUGGCGAAGGCAGCUCGCUGGGACGGUACUGACGCUGAGGCGCGAAAGCGUGGGGAGCAAACAGG